AUUGAACGCUGGCGGAAUGCUUUACACAUGCAAGUCGAACGGCAGCACGGACUUCGGUCUGGUGGCGAGUGGCGAACGGGUGAGUAAUGUAUCGGAACGUGCCCAGUCGUGGGGGAUAACGUAGUGAAAAUUACGCUAAUACCGCAUACGAUCUAUGGAUGAAAGCGGAGGAUCGCAAAACCUCGCGCGAUUGGAGCGGCCAAUAUCAGAUUAGGUAGUUGGUGGGGUAAAGGCCCACCAAGCCAACGAUCUGUAGCUGGUCUGAGAGGACGGCCAGACACACUGGAACUGAGACACGGUCCAGACUCCUACGGGAGGCAGCAGUGGGGAAUUUUGGACAAUGGGCGAAAGCCUGAUCCAGCCAUUCCGCGUGCAGGAUGAAGGCCCUCGGGUUGUAAACUGCUUUUGUACAGAACGAAAAGGUUUCUACGAAUACUAGGAGCUCAUGACGGUACUGUAAGAAUAAGCACCGGCUAACUACGUGCCAGCAGCCGCCGUAA
rnacentral:rRNA from 1 species